CAAUAAGCGGAGGAAAAGAAACUAACAAGGAUUCCCCUAGUAACUGCGAGUGAAGCGGGAAAAGCUCAAAUUUAAAAUCUGGCGGUCUUUGGCCGUCCGAGUUGUAGUCUGGAGAAGUGCUUUCCGCGCUGGACCGUGUAUAAGUCUCUUGGAACAGAGCGUCAUAGAGGGUGAGAAUCCCGUCUUUGACACGGACUACCAGUGCUUUGUGAUGCGCUCUCGAAGAGUCGAGUUGUUUGGGAAUGCAGCUCAAAAUGGGUGGUAAAUUCCAUCUAAAGCUAAAUAUUGGCGAGAGACCGAUAGCGAACAAGUACCGUGAGGGAAAGAUGAAAAGCACUUUGGAAAGAGAGUUAAACAGUACGUGAAAUUGCUGAAAGGGAAACGCUUGAAGUCAGUCGCGUCUGCCGGAACUCAGCCUUGCUUUUGCUUGGUGCAUUUUCCGGUAGACGGGCCAGCAUCGAUUUUGACCGUCGGAAAAGGGCUAGAGAAAUGUGGCACCUUCGGGUGUGUUAUAGUCUCUGGUCGCAUACGGCGGUUGGGAUCGAGGAACGCAGCGCGCCGCAAGGCAGGGGUUCGCCCACUUUCGCGCUUAGGAUGCUGGCGUAAUGGCUUUAAACGACCCGUCUUGAAACACGGACCAAGGAGUCUAACAUGCCUGCGAGUGUUUGGGUGGUAAACCCGAGCGCGUAAUGAAAGUGAAAGUUGAGACCUCUGUCGUGGAGGGCAUCGACGCCCGGACCUGACGUUCUCUGACGGAUCCGCGGUAGAGCAUGUAUGUUGGGACCCGAAAGAUGGUGAACUAUGCCUGAAUAGGGUGAAGCCAGAGGAAACUCUGGUGGAGGCUCGUAGCGAUUCUGACGUGCAAAUCGAUCGUCAAAUUUGGGUAUAGGGGCGAAAGACUAAUCGAACCAUCUAGUAGCUGGUUCCUGC
rnacentral:rRNA from 1 species